GUGUCCUGUCUGCCCUCCUCUGUCAGUCAGUGAUGGUGUGCAGGGUCUCGGACACAGGACACAGAGAAACAUCUGUCCAGAAAAGGGGACGAGUCCAAAGAUGAGGACUCGGUCCUAAAGGCAGGGCAGGACAAC
ensembl:scaRNA